AAAACUUUAAGUUAACAAAACUAAUAAUCUUCAAAAUUAUAAAUAAAUUUUUUAAAAUUUAAGUUUUA
rnacentral:tRNA from 1 species